rnacentral:rRNA from 1 species
CUGCCCUUUGUACACACCGCCCGUCGCUACUACCGAUUGAAUGGCUCAGUGAGGCUUUGGGACCUACUAGAAGAGGUCGGCAACGACCACUUCCGGCGGGAAACUUAUCCAAACUCGGUCAUUUAGAGGAAGUAAAAGUCGUAACAAGGUCUCCGUUGGUGAACCAGCGGAGGGAUCAUUA